AGAGAAGAAAACUGUUAAGGAUGAUGAAAAAAUAUUAAGAAAUUUUACAAAGAGCUACAAUUGAAAACAAAUUACAAAGCAUGAUGGAAAAUUUCAAACUUAAAGAAGAGGUUCAUAAACAACAGGUCAAUGAUACAAAAACUAGCCACCGUACCAAAGUUAUUACUGAAGUUGAUGGACGUUAAGUUAAAUAGUACGAAGAUAAAUUACAAUCUGAAUUACAAAUGUUACGACAACAAGCUGAAGAAGAUGUCAAACGAAACAAAAAAGACAUUUCUGAUUUGUUUGAUAGCAAGUUUCAAAAUUUGGAAAAUGAAUUGCAACGC